rnacentral:siRNA from 1 species
UAUAGAACAGUGAAGAUCAAAACC